UAAGGAAUAUUGGUCAAUGGUGGCAACACUGAACCAGCCAUGCCGCGUGAAGGAUGAAGGCGCUCUGCGUUGUAAACUUCUUUUAAGUGGGAAGAAAACUCAUAUUCAUAUGAGCCUGACGGUACCACUGGAAUAAGCACCGGCUAACUCCGUGCCAGCAGCCGCGGUAAUACGGAGGGUGCAAGCGUUAUCCGGAAUCACUGGGUUUAAAGGGUACGUAGGCGGUCUGUUAAGUCAGUCGUGAAAGUUU
rnacentral:rRNA from 1 species